UGAGUAAUAUAUCGGAACGUACCCAGUAGUGGGGGAUAACUAUCCGAAAGGAUAGCUAAUACCGCAUACGAUCUAGGGAUGAAAGCAGGGGAUCUUCGGACCUUGUGCUAUUGGAGCGGCCGAUAUCUGAUUAGCUAGUUGGUGAGGUAAAAGCUCACCAAGGCGACGAUCAGUAGCUGGUCUGAGAGGACGACCAGCCACACUGGAACUGAGACACGGUCCAGACUCCUACGGGAGGCAGCAGUGGGGAAUUUUGGACAAUGGGCGCAAGCCUGAUCCAGCAAUGCCGCGUGAGUGAAGAAGGCCUUCGGGUUGUAAAGCUCUUUUGUCAGGGAAGAAAAGGUGCGCUCUAACAUAGCGUACUGAUGACGGUACCUGAAGAAUAAGCACCGGCUAACUACGUGCCAGCAGCCGCGGUAAUACGUAGGGUGCAAGCGUUAAUCGGAAUUACUGGGCGUAAAGCGUGCGCAGGCGGUUUUAUAAGUCUGAUGUGAAAUCCCCGGGCUCAACCUGGGAACUGCAUUGGAGACUGUAAGGCUAGAGUGUGUCAGAGGGGGGUAGAAUUCCACGUGUAGCAGUGAAAUGCGUAGAUAUGUGGAGGAAUACCGAUGGCGAAGGCAGCCCCCUGGGAUAACACUGACGCUCAUGCACGAAAGCGUGGGGAGCAAACAGGAUUAGAUACCCUGGUAGUCCACGCCCUAAACGAUGUCCACUAGUUGUCGGGACUUAAUUGUCUUGGUAACGCAGCUAACGCGUGAAGUAGACCGCCUGGGGAGUACGGUCGCAAGAUUAAAACUCAAGGAAUUGACGGGGACCCGCACAGCGGUGGA
rnacentral:rRNA from 1 species